GUUUUUAUAGUUGAAUUACAACAUCAGUUUUUCGUGUUGAGAGUUCUGGUUAUGUCCAGAUAAAAAUU
rnacentral:tRNA from 1 species